rnacentral:rRNA from 1 species
UACGUAGGGUGCAAGCGUUAAUCGGAAUUACUGGGCGUAAAGCGUGCGCAGGCGGUUUUGUAAGUCUGUCGUGAAAGCCCCGGGCUCAACCUGGGAAUUGCGAUGGAGACUGCAAGGCUUGAAUCUGGCAGAGGGGGGUAGAAUUCCACGUGUAGCAGUGAAAUGCGUAGAGAUGUGGAGGAACACCGAUGGCGAAGGCAGGUCUCUGGGCUGACACUGACGCUCAUGCACGAAAGCGUGGGGAGCAAACAGG